CCUACGGGCGGCAGCAGUGGGGAAUAUUGGACAAUGGGGGCAACCCUGAUCCAGCCAUGCCGCGUGUGUGAAGAAGGCCCUCGGGUUGUAAAGCACUUUCAGUGAGGAAGAACGCCUGGUGGUUAAUACCCAUCAGGAAAGACAUCACUCACAGAAGAAGCACCGGCUAACUCCGUGCCAGCAGCCGCGGUAAUACGGAGGGUGCGAGCGUUAUCGGAAUUACUGGGCGUAAAGCGCGCGUAGGUGGCUUGAUAAGCCGGUUGUGAAAGCCCCGGGCUCAACCUGGGAACGGCAUCCGGAACUGUCAAGCUAGAGUGCAGGAGAGGAAGGUAGAAUUCCCGGUGUAGCGGUGAAAUGCGUAGAGAUCGGGAGGAAUACCAGUGGCGAAGGCGGCCUUCUGGACUGACACUGACACUGAGGUGCGAAAGCGUGGGUAGCAAACAGGAUUAGAUACCCCUGUAGUC
rnacentral:rRNA from 1 species